rnacentral:tRNA from 6 species
GGGGCUGUAGCUCAGCUGGGAGAGCGCAUGAAUGGCAUUCAUGAGGUCGUGGGUUCGAUCCCCAUCAGCUCCACCA